UACGGAGGGGGCUAGCGUUGUUCGGAAUUACUGGGCGUAAAGCGCACGUAGGCGGCCUGAUAAGUCGGGUGUGAAAGCCCGGGGCUCAACCCCGGAAUUGCCUUUAAGACUGCAUCGCUUGAACGUCGGAGAGGUGAGUGGAAUUCCGAGUGUAGAGGUGAAAUUCGUAGAUAUUCGGAAGAACACCAGUGGCGAAGGCGGCUCACUGGACGACUGUUGACGCUGAGGUGCGAAAGCGUGGGGAGCAAACAGG
rnacentral:rRNA from 1 species